GUGCCAGCAGCCGCGGUAAAACCAGCACCUCAAGUGGUCAGGAUGAUUAUUGGGCCUAAAGCAUCCGUAGCCGGCGCUAUAAGUUUUCGGUUAAAUCUGUACGCUCAACGUACAGGCUGCCGGGAAUACUGUAGCGCUAGGGAGUGGGAGAGGUAGACGGUACUCGGUAGGAAGGGGUAAAAUCCUUUGAUCUAUUGAUGACCACCUGUGGCGAAGGCGGUCUACCAGAACACGUCCGACGGUGAGGGAUGAAAGCUGGGGGAGCAAACCGGAUUAGAUACCCGGGUAGUCCCAGCUGUAAACUAUGCAAACUCAGUGAUGCAUUGGCUUGUGGCCAAUGCAGUGCUGCAGGGAAGCCGUUAAGUUUGCCGCCUGGGAAGUACGUACGCAAGUAUGAAACUUAAAUGAAUUGACGGGG
rnacentral:rRNA from 1 species